CACGGGGGGAGCAAGCGUUGUUCGGAAUCACUGGGCGUAAAGGGCGUGUAGGCGGUCAGGUAAGUGGGAUGUGAAAUGCCCCGGCUCACCCGGGGACCGGCAUCCCAAACUGCCUGACUUGAGUAUGGGAGAGGAUGAGGGAAUUCCUGGUGUAGCGGUGAAAUGCGUAGAUAUCAGGAGGAACACCGGUGGCGAAGGCGCUCAUCUGGCCCAAUACUGACGCUGAGGCGCGAAAGCUAGGGGAGCAAACGGG
rnacentral:rRNA from 1 species